CCUACGGGAGGCUGCAGUGGGGAAUAUUGGACAAUGGGCGAAAGCCUGAUCCAGCCAUGCCGCGUGUGUGAAGAAGGCCUUCGGGUUGUAAAGCACUUUCAGUGGGGAAGAAAGCCUUGGGGCUAAUACCCUCGAGGAAGGACAUCACCCACAGAAGAAGCACCGGCUAACUCCGUGCCAGCAGCCGCGGUAAUACGGAGGGUACGAGCGUUAAUCGGAAUUACUGGGCGUAAAGCGCGCGUAGGCGGUCUGAUAAGCCGGUUGUGAAAGCCCCGGGCUCAACCUGGGAACGGCAUCCGGAACUGUCAGGCUAGAGUGCAGGAGAGGAAGGUAGAAUUCCCGGUGUAGCGGUGAAAUGCGUAGAGAUCGGGAGGAAUACCAGUGGCGAAGGCGGCCUUCUGGACUGACACUGACGCUGAGGUGCGAAAGCGUGGGUAGCAAACAGGAUUAGAUACCCCAGUAGUC
rnacentral:rRNA from 1 species